UGUGUAUUGUAUGUGGAUGUUAUACAUUUUUCUCUUGUUAUCUUCGCGCCACGUACCCUUAACGAUGUCACGGGUCAUCACCUUUAUAUGACUAUACAAGUAAAUUGUGCUGCACAAGUCACAGUGUCGCUUACACAAACGGAGGUGUAACAAUUCCAACCACACGAACCUCACCACAAUGAAACUAUCAUACUUGUCUUCACAGCUUCAAACAUCACCGGUGAUUUUCACUGGCCCGUGAAAUAAAAAAAGCUGCGGAUUAAUAAGUACAAAA